GACGAACGCUAGCUGCGUGCUUAACACAUGCAAGUCGAACGGAAAGGCCCUGCAUUUGUGGGGUGCUCGAGUGGCGAACGGGCGAGUGACAGGUUAGUACCCUGCCCUUGAGUUUGGGAUAACUUCAGGAAACUGGGGCUAAUACAGGAUAGGAGCUCCUCCUGCCUGGAGGGCGUUGGAAAGGUUCGGCGGUUGGGGAUGGACUCGCGGCUUAUCAGCUUGUUGGUGGGGUUGUGGCUUACCAAGGCUUUGACGGGUACCCGGCCUGAGAGGGUGACCGGCCACAUUGGGACUGAGAUACGGCCCAGACUCCUACGGGAGGCAGCAGUGGGGGAUAUUGCACAAUGGGCGGAAGCCUGGUGCAGGAACGCCGCGUGCGGGAUUGCAGCCUUCUGGUUGUAAACCGCUUUCUCCUGUGAGUAAGCGUGAGUGACGGUAAUGGGUAAAGAAGCACCGGCUAACUACGUG
rnacentral:rRNA from 1 species